UACGUAGGGUGCGAGCGUUAAUCGGAAUUACUGGGCGUAAAGCGUGCGCAGGCGGUUUGUCGCGUCUGCUGUGAAAACCCGAGGCUCAACCUCGGGCCUGCAGUGGGUACGGGCAGACUAGAGUGCGGUAGGGGAGAUUGGAAUUCCUGGUGUAGCGGUGAAAUGCGCAGAUAUCAGGAGGAACACCGGUGGCGAAGGCGGGUCUCUGGGCAGUAACUGACGCUGAGGAGCGAAAGCGUGGGGAGCGAACAGG
rnacentral:rRNA from 1 species